AGAGUUUGAUCCUGGCUCAGAUUGAACGCUGGCGGAAUGCUUUACACAUGCAAGUCGAACGGUAGAGGGGGCAACCCCUUGAGAGUGGCGAACGGGUGAGUAAUAUAUCGGAACGUGCCCAGUCGUGGGGGAUAACGUAGUGAAAAUUACGCUAAUACCGCAUACGAUCUAAGGAUGAAAGCGGGGGAUCGCAAGACCUCGCGCGAUUGGAGCGGCCGAUAUCAGAUUAGGUAGUUGGUAGGGUAAAGGCCUACCAAGCCAACGAUCUGUAGCUGGUCUGAGAGGACGACCAGCCACACUGGAACUGAGACACGGUCCAGACUCCUACGGGAGGCAGCAGUGGGGAAUUUUGGACAAUGGGCGAAAGCCUGAUCCAGCCAUUCCGCGUGCAGGAUGAAGGCCCUCGGGUUGUAAACUGCUUUUGUACAGAACGAAAAGGUCUCUAUUAAUACUAGGGGCUCAUGACGGUACUGUAAGAAUAAGCACCGGCUAACUACGUGCCAGCAGCCGCGGUAAUACGUAGGGUGCAAGCGUUAAUCGGAAUUACUGGGCGUAAAGCGUGCGCAGGCGGUUAUAUAAGUCAGAUGUGAAAUCCCCGGGCUCAACCUGGGAACUGCAUUUGAGACUGUAUAGCUAGAGUACGGUAGAGGGGGAUGGAAUUCCGCGUGUAGCAGUGAAAUGCGUAGAUAUGCGGAGGAACACCGAUGGCGAAGGCAAUCCCCUGGACCUGUACUGACGCUCAUGCACGAAAGCGUGGGGAGCAAACAGGAUUAGAUACCCCUGUAGUCCACGC
rnacentral:rRNA from 1 species